GACGAACGCUGGCGGCGUGCUUAACACAUGCAAGUCGAACGGAAAGGCCCUGCUUUUGUGGGGUGCUCGAGUGGCGAACGGGUGAGUAACACGUGAGUAACCUGCCCUUGACUUUGGGAUAACUUCAGGAAACUGGGGCUAAUACCGGAUAGGAGCUCCUGCUGCAUGGUGGGGGUUGGAACGUUUCGGCGGUUGGGGAUGGACUCGCGGCUUAUCAGCUUGUUGGUGGGGUAGUGGCUUACCAAGGCUUUGACGGGUAGCCGGCCUGAGAGGGUGACCGGCCACAUUGGGACUGAGAUACGGCCCAGACUCCUACGGGAGGCAGCAGUGGGGAAUACUGCACAAUGGGCGGAAGCCUGAUGCAGCAACGCCGCGUGCGGGAUGACGGCCUUCGGGUUGUAAACCGCUUUCGCCUGUGACGAAGCGUGAGUGACGGUAAUGGGUAAAGAAGCACCGGCUAACUACGUG
rnacentral:rRNA from 1 species